rnacentral:tmRNA from 3 species
GGGGCUGAUUCUGGAUUCGACGGGAUUUGCGAAACCCAAGGUGCAUGCCGAGGGGCGGUUUGCCUCGUUAAAAGCCGCAAAAAAAUAGUCGCAAACGACGAAAACUACGCUUUAGCAGCUUAAUAACCUGCUCUGAGCCCUCUCUCCCUAGCUUCCGCUCUUAAGACG